UACAGAGGGCUCGAGCGUUAAUCGGAAUCACUGGGCUUAAAGCGUGCGUAGGCGGACGUGUAGGCACUUUGUGAAAUCCCCCGGCUCAACCGGGGAAUUGCUUGGUGAACCACACGUCUCGAGGCAAGUAGGGGCUGUCGGAACGCUAGGUGGAGUGGUGAAAUGCGUUGAUAUCUAGCGGAACGCCGAAGGAGAAAUCAGGCAGCUGGGCUUGUCCUGACGCUGAGGCACGAAAGCGUGGGGAGCGAACGGG
rnacentral:rRNA from 1 species